AUUGAACGCUGGCGGCAUGCCUAACACAUGCAAGUCGAACGAGUGGCGGACGGGUGAGUAACGUCUGGGAAACUUCCUGAUCGAGGGGGAUAACUACUGGAAACGGUAGCCAAUACCGCAUACCCUCAGAUGUGCCCAGCUGGGAUUAGCUUGGUGGUGGGGUAACGGCUCACCAAGGCGACGAUCCCUAGCUGGUCUGAGAGGAGGUCCAGCAACAGUGGAGCUGAGACACGGUCCAGACUCCUACGGGAGGAAGCAGUGGGGAAUAUUGCACAAUGGGGGAAGGCCUGAUGCAGCCAUGCCGCGUGUGUGAAGAAUGCCUUCGGGUUGUAAAGUACUUUCAGCGGGGAGGCGGUACCCGAAGAGAAAGCACCGGCUAACUACGUGCCAGCAGCCGCGGUAAUUC
rnacentral:rRNA from 1 species